AGCAGUGUGGCCUAGUGGAAGAAGCCUCAGCCUGGAAGUCAGAGGACCUGGGUUCUAAUCCCAGCUCUACCA
rnacentral:tRNA from 1 species